rnacentral:rRNA from 1 species
UGGGGAAUAUUGGACAAUGGGGGAAACCCUGAUCCAGCAAUGCCGCGUGUGUGAAGAAGGCCUUCGGGUUGUAAAGCACUUUCGGUUAGAAGAAAAAGCUUGUGGCUAAUACCCAUGAGUCUUGAUGUUAUCAACAGAAGAAGCACCGGCUAACUCUGUGCCAGCAGCCGCGGUAAUACAGAGGGUGCAAGCGUUAAUCGGAAUUAUUGGGCGUAAAGAGCACGUAGGCGGAUUGGAAAGUUGGAUGUGAAAUCCCCGGGCUCAACCUGGGAACUGCAUUCAAAACUCCCAGUCUAGAGUAUAGAAGAGGAGAGUGGAAUUUCCGGUGUAGCAGUGAAAUGCGUAGAUAUCGGAAGGAACAUCAGUGGCGAAGGCGACUCUCUGGUCUAAUACUGACGCUGAGGUGCGAAAGCGUGGGGAGCAAACAGG